rnacentral:rRNA from 1 species
GCGGGCCUCGACUGCUUAUUGCACCACAUGUGUUUUUCUUUGAAACAAACUUGCUUUGGCGGUGGGCCCAGCCUGCCGCCAGAGGUCUAAACUUACAACCAAUUUUUUAUCAACUUGUCACACCAGAUUAUUACUAAUAGUCAAAACUUUCAACAACGGAUCUCUUGGUUCUCGCAUCGAUGAAGAACGCAGCGAAAUGCGAUACGUAAUAUGAAUUGCAGAUAUUCGUGAAUCAUCGAAUCUUUGAACGCACAUUGCGCCCUCUGGUAUUCCGGAGGGCAUGCCUGUUUGAGCGUCGUUUCUCCCUCAAACCGCUGGGUUUGGUGUUGAGCAAUACGACUUGGGUUUGCUUGAAAGACGGUAGUGGUAAGGCGGGAUCGCUUUGACAAUGGCUUAGGUCUAACCAAAAACAUUGCUUGCGGCGGUAACGUCUACCACGUAUAUCUUCAAACUUUGACCUCAAAUCAGGUAGGACUACCCGCUGAACUUAAGCAUAUCAAUAAGCGGAGGAA